UGGGGAAUUUUACGCAAUGGGGGAAACCCUGACGUAGCGACACCGCGUGAGCGAAGAAGCCCCUUGGGGUGUAAAGCUCUGUCGGCUGGAACGAAAAAAAUGAUGGUACCAGCAAAGGAAGCAUCGGCUAACUACGUGCCAGCAGCCGCGGUAAGACGUAGGAUGCAAGCGUUGUCCGGAUUUAUUGGGCGUAAAGAGUUCGUAGGUGGUUUGUCAAGUCUGAUGUUAAAGAUCGGGGCUCAACCCUGGGACUGCAUUGGAUACUGGCAGACUUGAGUAUGGUAGAGGCUAGGGGAAUUCCCAGUGUAGCGGUGAAAUGCGUAGAUAUUGGGAAGAACACCGGUGGCGUAGGCGACUAGCUGGGCCAUAACUGACGCUGAGGAACGAAAGCCAGGGGAGCGAAUG
rnacentral:rRNA from 1 species